GACGUAGGGCGCGAGCGUUGUCCGGAUUUAUUGGGCGUAAAGAGCUCGUAGGCGGCUUGUCGCGUCGACUGUGAAAACCCGCAGCUCAACUGUGGGCUUGCAGCCGAUACGGGCAGACUAGAGUUCGGUAGGGGAGACUGGAAUUCCUGGUGUAGCGGUGAAAUGCGCAGAUAUCAGGAGGAACACCGAUGGCGAAGGCAGGUCUCUGGGCCACUACUGACGCUGAGAAGCGAAAGCAUGGGGAGCGAACAGG
rnacentral:rRNA from 1 species